rnacentral:rRNA from 1 species
AGACCCGAAACCCGGUGAUCUAGCCAUGGGCAGGUUGAAGGUUGGGUAACACUAACUGGAGGACCGAACCGACUAAUGUUGAAAAAUUAGCGGAUGACCUGUGGCUGGGGGUGAAAGGCCAAUCAAACCGGGAGAUAGCUGGUUCUCCCCGAAAGCUAUUUAGGUAGCGCCUCGUGAAUUCAUCUCCGGGGGUAGAGCACUGUUUCGGCUAGGGGGCCAUCCCGGCUUACCAACCCGAUGCAAACUGCGAAUACCGGAGAAUGUUAUCACGGGAGACACACGGCGGGUGCUAACGUCCGUCGUGAAGAGGGAAACAACCCAGACCGCCAGCUAAGGUCCCAAAGUCAUGGUUAAGUGGGAAACGAUGUGGGAAGGCCCAGACAGCCAGGAUGUUGGCUUAGAAGCAGCCAUCAUUUAAAGAAAGCGUAAUAGCUCACUGGUCGAGUCGGCCUGCGCGGAAGAUGUAACGGGGCUAAACCAUGCACCGAAGCUGCGGCAGCGACGCUGAUGCGUUGUUGGGUAGGGGAGCGUUCUGUAAGCCUGUGAAGGUGGCCUGUGAGGGUUGCUGGAGGUAUCAGAAGUGCGAAUGCUGACAUAAGUAACGAUAAAGCGGGUGAAAAGCCCGCUCGCCGGAAGACCAAGGGUUCCUGUCCAACGUUAAUCGGGGCAGGGUGAGUCGACCCCUAAGGCGAGGCCGAAAGGCGUAGUCGAUGGGAAACGGGUUAAUAUUCCCGUACUUGGUGUUACUGCGAAGGGGGGACGGAGAAGGCUAUGUUGGCCGGGCGACGGUUGUCCCGGUUUA